rnacentral:rRNA from 1 species
UUCGUAGGGUGCAAGCGUUAUCCGGAAUUAUUGGGCGUAAAGAGCUCGUAGGCGGUUCGUCGCGUCGGCUGUGAAAACCCGGAGCUCAACUCCGGGCCUGCAGUCGAUACGGGCGGACUUGAGUGUUGCAGGGGAGACUGGAAUUCCUGGUGUAGCGGUGAAAUGCGCAGAUAUCAGGAGGAACACCGGUGGCGAAGGCGGGUCUCUGGGCAACUACUGACGCUGAGGAGCGAAAGCGUGGGGAGCGAACAGG